rnacentral:rRNA from 1 species
CCUACGGGGGGCAGCAGUGGGGAAUUUUCCGCAAUGGGCGAAAGCCUGACGGAGCAACGCCGCGUGAGGGAUGAAGGCCUCUGGGCUGUAAACCUCUUUUCUCAAGGAAGAAGAUCUGACGGUACUUGAGGAAUAAGCCACGGCUAAUUCCGUGCCAGCAGCCGCGGUAAUACGGGAGUGGCAAGCGUUAUCCGGAAUCAUUGGGCGUAAAGCGUCCGCAGGUGGCUUUGUAAGUCUGCCGUUAAAGCGUGGAGCUUAACUCCAUUUCAGCGGUGGAAACUACAAAGCUUGAGUGUGGUAGGGGCAGAGGGAAUUCCCGGUGUAGCGGUGAAAUGCGUAGAUAUCGGGAAGAACACCAGUGGCGAAGGCGCUCUGCUGGGCCAUAACUGACACUCAUGGACGAAAGCCAGGGGAGCGAAAGGGAUUAGAUACCCUUGUAGUC